rnacentral:rRNA from 1 species
UACAGAGGGUGCGAGCGUUGUCCGGAAUCACUGGGCGUAGAGGGCGCGUAGGCGGCCCGGUAAGGUUGCGGUGAAAGCCCGGGGCUCAACCCCGGGUCGGCCGUGGCAACUGCUGGGCUGGAGCACAGUAGAGGCGGGUGGAAUUCCGGGUGUAGCGGUGGAAUGCGUAGAGAUCCGGAAGAACACCAGUGGCGAAGGCGGCCCGCUGGGCAGUGGCUGACGCUGAGGCGCGACAGCGUGGGGAGCAAACAGG